GACGAACGCUGGCGGCGUGCUUAACACAUGCAAGUCGAACGGAAAGGCCCUGCUUUUGUGGGGUGCUCGAGUGGCGAACGGGUGAGUAACACGUGAGUAACCUGCCCUUGACUUUGGGAUAACUUCAGGAAACUGGGGCUAAUACCGGAUAGGAGCUCCUGCUGCAUGGUGGGGGUUGGAAAGUUUCGGCGGUUGGGGAUGGACUCGCGGCUUAUCAGCUUGUUGGUGGGGUAGUGGCUUACCAAGGCUUUGACGGGUAGCCGGCCUGGGAGGGUGACCGGCCACAUUGGGACUGAGAUACGGCCCAGAAUCCUACGGGAGGCAGCAGUGGGGAAUAUUGCACAAUGGGCGGAAGCCUGAUGCAGCAACGCCGCGUGCGGGAUGACGGCCUUCGGGUUGUAAACCGCUUUCGCCUGUGACGAAGCGUGAGUGACGGUAAUGAGUAAAGAAGCCCCGGCUAACUACGUG
rnacentral:rRNA from 1 species